GCUUUCUACUCUGACACAUUGGAGUUUUAAUUUGAGGGUUAUUGUAUCCGUCCAUAAAGCACAUUCUGUGAAGGAAAGCAUAAACGUAGUCAAUCUAAAAGAUGUUAGACUGCUUAUGAUCAGGUAUGUGUUUUACACUGUGAGGUCAUGCACAAGAGAGCUAAUGAAGGGUGCACAGGUGAGUCUAGGUAUGACCUUUGCAUUUGGAGUUUGUU